GAGUUUGAUCCUGGCUCAGAUUGAACGCUGGCGGCGUGCUUAACACAUGCAAGUCGAGCGGUAACGCGGGGGCAACCCUGGCGACGAGCGGCGAACGGGUGAGUAAUGCUUCGGAAUCUUCCUCGUAGUGGGGAAUAACCUGGGGAAACUCAGGCUAAUACCGCAUACGAACUACGGUUGAAAGCGGGGGAUCGCAAGACCUCGCGCUAUGAGAUGAGCCGAAGUCGGAUUAGCUAGUUGGUGAGGUAACGGCUCACCAAGGCGACGAUCCGUAGCUGGUCUGAGAGGACGACCAGCCACACUGGGACUGAGACACGGCCCAGACUCCUACGGGAGGCAGCAGUGGGGAAUAUUGGACAAUGGGGGCAACCCUGAUCCAGCGACGCCGCGUGUGUGAAGAAGGCCUGCGGGUUGUAAAGCACUUUUAGUGGGGAUGAAAAGCCGAGGGCUAAUACUCUUCGGUCUUGACCUAACCCAAAGAAAAAGCACCGGCUAACUCUGUGCCAGCAGCCGCCGUAAG
rnacentral:rRNA from 1 species